AGAGUGGUUCAUGUGGAUUUAGAAAAGUAACAGAUAAAUAUUUACAGACAUUUUAAAAUGUUAAAUUGAGAACGAAAUUUCCUACUCCCCCCGCCAGUCAACACGGUAUAGUGUCUAUUUACUGAUAAGUAGGCCUAUGAUUGCGUAACAUAAUAACAAAGUAGUUGUUAUGCAUCACAUGUGUAUAAUCAACCAUUUGGUUAAUAAUGGUUUCAUUAUAAUGGCAGCAGGGUUAAUAUUAGUGUUCUAAAACCGGAAGUGGUUUAACUGAGCAGAAGGCAGUGAAUAUGUUUGUGUAACUAGAAAAAGGAUGUAGAGGGUCAGGGGAGACUUUCUGCGUGUUAUUCAGGAACAUUAAUUUCUCAGCUGUGUUUAGGGGCUUUGGGCGUUAUCAGUGACGUCAUCGGUCUGAAAUCGAAACUAACCUCACUGAACGGAAAACUUCCCGGAGUACUCGACGCUCUCUCCGCAGCCUCUCUGGAGAGUCUCUGACUGGGAAUCAGCUUGUUUCCUCUCCAGAUGAAGGUGUGGACUCUGCUAUGAGUCAGUGUGAGGACAGAGAGGAGGGAGUCCCUCCCUCUAAAGCCACUCUGUGUGGGGAACAUGACAGCCAGACCAAAGCUCAGAGGUGAGAGGA